GCCCCUGCGGCCUAGCGGUUACCGCUGCCGUUUUGUAAACUGUCAUCGCGGGUUCAAUCCCUUCGGGGUCA